GGUGAACGCUGGCGGCGUGCUUAAGACAUGCAAGUCGAACGGCAGUCUUCGGACUGUAGUGGCGCACGGGUGAGUAACGCGUAACUGACCUACCCCAAAGUCGCGGAUAACGAUUCGAAAGAAUCGCUAAUACGUGAUGUGCUGUCAGAUCCUGUUCUGCCAGUAAAGAUUUAUUGCUUUGGGAUGGGGUUGCGUUCCAUCAGCUAGUUGGUGGGGUAAAGGCCCACCAAGGCGACGACGGAUAGCCGUCCUGAGAGGGUGGCCGGCCACAGGGGCACCGAGACACGGGUCGCACUACUACGGGAGGCAGCAGUUAGGAAUCGUCCACAAUGGGCGAAAGCCUGAUGGAGCGACGCCGCGUGAGGGAUGAAGGUCUUCGGAUCGUAAACCUCUGAAUCAGGGACGAAAGACACUUUAUGUGGGAUGACGGUACCUGAGUAAUAGCACCGGCUAACUCCGUGCCAGCCGCCGCGGUAACAC
rnacentral:rRNA from 1 species